rnacentral:rRNA from 1 species
GACGAACGCUGGCGGCGUGCUUAACACAUGCAAGUCGAACGCUGAAGCCCAGCUUGCUGGGUGGAUGAGUGGCGAACGGGUGAGUAACACGUGAGUAACCUGCCCCCUUCUUUGGGAUAACGCCCGGAAACGGGUGCUAAUACUGGAUAUUCACUGGCCUUCGCAUGGGGGUUGGUGGAAAGGUUUUUUCUGGUGGGGGAUGGGCUCGCGGCCUAUCAGCUUGUUGGUGGGGUGAUGGCCUACCAAGGCUUUGACGGGUAGCCGGCCUGAGAGGGUGACCGGUCACAUUGGGACUGAGAUACGGCCCAGACUCCUACGGGAGGCAGCAGUGGGGAAUAUUGCACAAUGGGCGAAAGCCUGAUGCAGCGACGCCGCGUGAGGGAUGACGGCCUUCGGGUUGUAAACCUCUUUCGCUCAUGGUCAAGCCGCAGCUUUGGGUUGUGGUGAGGGUAGUGGGUAAAGAAGCGCCGGCUAACUACGUGCCAGCAGCCGCGGUAAUACGUAGGGCGCGCGCGUUGCUCGAAAUUAUUGGGUGUGAAGGGGUUGUAAGCGGUUGGCCUCCUGUUGCGUGAAUCCUCUGGGUUCACUGGGGCGUGUGCUCGGUACGUUUUCCUUUCAUUGCCUAUGUGAGAUUAUUCUUCCCUUUUUUUUUGUUCAAUCCCU